rnacentral:misc_RNA from 1 species
GGCAUCCCAUCCGUGCGUGUCCCGUAGUUGGCCCAAGCGGGUGCUUGACCGAAGAUGGUGUCCAUGUGCUGCCUACCUACCGCGAAGGUAUUGUGUUGCCUACAAUCGUUGGAUUUUCGCCUUGUGCGGCGUCCCCCAUCAAGGGGAAGCCGUGCGGGGUGGACAACAAGGCAUGCGCCGUGUUUCGCACCUUGCUCACCUCUACGGGAGUUUUGGUUGUCGACCCACGGCGCCGUGCUUGAUCUCUUGGGUGCGGAAUACCAUGUGUGUACGAGGCCAUUCAUUGGCCUCCGAUCAUCACGACAAUGAGCGUUUCCACGCUUUGUGCGAACGACGGUCGGCUCGAUCUCCCGUCGUGCUCCCGUAGCCCGAUUGGAUUCGUGCCGGCGUCGG